AGCUUUGUGCGGUGGCAGUAUCGUAGCCAAUGAGGUUUAUCCAAGGCAUGAUUAUUGCUAAUUGAAGAUACUUAUAAAUGGUAAAUAAUCAGGCUACUUUCCAAAAGUUCCACAGAAC
ensembl:snRNA U4 U4 spliceosomal RNA